GCAAAAUUUUUGCAGAUGUUAGUUGCAGAAACACCCACAGAAGCUGCAGGUAGCCAAAAAUUAUACCAUCAUCUUCCUUGCUUUUAGAAUACACUGUCACCACAACUGCCAUCCUGCAACUUGGGGAGAAGAGGGUUUUGCGUUGUGUUACUCUUCAUAACUUGAGAAGAUCUUGGUAGUCUGGGCCCUCCUCUGCCUCAUCCUCACACCAAACAGGGAACCAUUUCCCUGUGUGUUCUGUAUUCAUUUAUCCAUCUUUUCUCUCCCUAUGCCUGAAUAUCUUCUCUUGCCCACCAUGGAGAAGACAACGUACUUUUCAUCCUUGAUCAAUCUGUAUUCAAUAUGAACAAUGAAAACAAUCUGGCAAACUGUGAUUGCUUUUGCAGUGUGAUUUGACAUGCGCAUGAUGUACUGGGAGCUUGAUAGCAGGCAUCUGUGGGGGACAAAUACCCACUGCUGGUUUCAUAUGGAAAGAAACUUAGGCACAGGCUGCCUUCAACUUGCGUUGACCUCUGGCUCCUUGAGUUAAUGUUGCUACCAGCUGCCUCCAAAGGGUAUCUUCUGGCCAUGCUGCAACGUGAAAAAGCCCUUCAGGUGCCAAAGCCAUGUGUAAGAAACUGAUUUCUUCUGGAGAGUCACCCUCUUGGAUGUUGCUGGCCCUUAUCUGUGAAAAGCCUCUUGCUAUCUCCUGAAGCCAGCAGAUGUUGUUGCUACAGACUUGCCUAGUUGGUGGGUUGGUUAUGAACUGAGACAGCUUGGAUGACUAAGGCAAAAAACACAUAAGCAGCAGCGUCCGAGGUUUCCUUAUUGGGAGGAAGUGAAAAUGUCCCCUUGUUGAAAGCCCUGACUUCUCUGGAGGGCCCCUUCCAAAGAUGAAUAGUUUUUGUUGUUGAUUUAGCCUAAAUGAACGGUGUCCUCAGCAGCUACUGCAGUGACUGCUGGUGUGAGUGCUUCAGGAACAAGGAGUGAUCUUUCUGACUUGGGGUGGAUGAGAGCAAUAGAGGGUGUUGAAAUAAACAGGAUUAAAGGAUUUCA
rnacentral:lncRNA from 1 species